UACAGAGGUCCCAAGCGUUACUGAGAAUCACUGGGUUUAAAGGGUGCGUAGGUGGUCCGUUAAGUCAGUUGUGAAAUCCCCGGGCUCAACCCGGGAACUGCUUCUGAUACUGGCGGACUUGAGGCCAGUAGGGGUCACUAGAACUGACGGUGGAGCGGUGAAAUGCGUAGAUAUCGUCAGGAAUGCCGGUGGUGAAGACGGGUGACUGGGCCUUACCUGACACUGAGGAGCGAAAGCGUGGGGAGCGAACAGG
rnacentral:rRNA from 1 species